rnacentral:rRNA from 1 species
AUUGAACGCUAGCGGGAUGCUUUACACAUGCAAGUCGAACGAGUGGCGGACGGGUGAGUAAUAUAUCGUCACGUUCCCAGUCUCGGGGGAUAACUACUCGAAAGCGUGGCUACUACCUCCUACUCUUCGUUCGGCCGCUAGUGGAUUAGCUAGUUGGUGGGGUAACGGCUCACCAAGGCAACGAUCCGUAGCUGGUUUGAGAGGCCGACCAGCAACACGGGGACUGAGACACGGCCCAGACUCCUACGGGAGGCAGCAGUGGGGAAUUUUGGACAAUGGGGGAAAGCCUGAGCGAGCCAUCCCGCGUGUAUGAGAAGGCCUUCGGGUUGUAAAGUACUUUUGGCAGAGAAGCGGUAUCUGAAGAAUAAGCAACGGCUAACUACGUGCCAGCAGCCGCGGUAAUUC